AAUGAACGUUGGCGGCGUGGAUUAGGCAUGCAAGUCGAGCGAGAACCCGCAAGGGGGACAGCGGCAAACGGGGUAGGAAUGAUUGGUGACGUACCCUCGGGACGGGGAUAGCCACGGGAAACUGUGGGUAAUACCCGAUAAUCUCCUCUUUCUUUAUGAGAGAGGAGCAAAGGUGUGAUUCCACCUGAGGAGCGGCCUGCUUCGUAUUAGCUAGUUGGUGAGGUAACGGCUCACCAAGGCUUCGAUGCGUAGGGGGUGUGAGAGCAUGACCCCCACACUGGGACUGAGAUACUGCCCAGACACCUACGGGUGGCUG
rnacentral:rRNA from 1 species